rnacentral:rRNA from 1 species
AUUGAACGCUGGCGGCAUGCUUUACACAUGCAAGUCGAACGGCAGCGGGGGGGUGCUUGCGCCUCUGCCGGCGAGUGGCGAACGGGUGAGUAAUGUAUCGGAACGUGCCCAGUAGUGGGGGAUAACUACUCGAAAGAGUAGCUAAUACCGCAUGAGAUCUCUGGAUGAAAGCGGGGGACCGUAAGGCCUCGCGCUACUGGAGCGGCCGAUAUCAGAUUAGGUAGUUGGUGGGGUAAAGGCCUACCAAGCCUGCGAUCUGUAGCUGGUCUGAGAGGACGACCAGCCACACUGGGACUGAGACACGGCCCAGACUCCUACGGGAGGCAGCAGUGGGGAAUUUUGGACAAUGGGCGCAAGCCUGAUCCAGCAAUGCCGCGUGCAGGAUGAAGGCCUUCGGGUUGUAAACUGCUUUUGUACAGAACGAAAAGCUCUUCUCUAAUACAGAGGGGUCAUGACGGUACUGUAAGAAUAAGCACCGGCUAACUACGUG